UUAUAUGUGGAAUUUUCCGCGGAUCACUUGAGGUCGGGAGUUUGAGACCAGCCUGACCAACAUGGAGAAACCCCACCUCUACUAAAAAUACAAAAAUAUUAGCCAGGCGUGGUGGUGCAUGCCUGUAAUCCCAGCUACUCGGGAGGUUGAGGCAGGAAAAUCACUUGAAUCUGGAAGGCGGAGGUUGCGGUGAGCUGAGAUCGUGCCAUUGCACUCCAGCCUGGGCAACAAGAUCGAAACUCUGACUCAAAAAAGUCUCAGAGUUUGGAGCAUUUCAGAUGAGGCGUGCUCACCCUGUACAUGAAAAGAAAUUCUUCGUCUGUCUGAAAUGUGGAUGUGAUGGCCAGAGCUGGAGCUGUCUGAGACAGAAGCCACAUCUUGAUGCUGUUGGAACAACAGAGAAGGGAUUUGAGUUCCUGAUGAGUAUACGGAGCUGCUAAACCAGUCCUGCAUUGCCUUUAUUUACAAGGAAGAAAAAUAAACUUUCUUGUUUAAGAACUUUUAUAUCAGGGUUUCUGUCACUGGAAGCCUAAUCUCAU
rnacentral:lncRNA from 1 species